UUGUGAUGUGGUCAUCUGUGAUGCCAGUAGUCCGUCUGGCGGCCCCUGUAGUGGACAAAUGUGUGAAUCAGGACAACCCGAAAAGAGGUCAACGACAUGUCAAAGACCUCUUUGAGGAGCGUCAUUUAUAUGUUUCUUCUGGAUACAUUCUUUGGGUGUAAUGUCUUGUUCUAACAUGUCAAAUAAAGUGUUCUAUAUAAAAA